CUAAGUGUUCAAGUGAAAGGAAGAGCUGCACAUCUCUCACUUUAAAUCAAAAACUAGAAAUGAUUAAGCCUCGUGAGGAAGGCAUGUCCAAAGCCAGGACAGGCCUAAG